rnacentral:rRNA from 1 species
GACGAACCGAGCGAACGUUAUUCGGAAUCACUGGGCUUAAAGGGCGCGUAGGCGGGCCGCCAAGUCAGGGGUGAAAGCCCCCAGCUCAACUGGGGAAGUGCCUUUGAUACUGGCGGUCUCGAGGGGGAUAGGGGCGUGCGGAACUUCCGGUGGAGCGGUGAAAUGCGUAGAUAUCGGAAGGAACACCGGUGGCGAAAGCGGCGCGCUGGAUCCCUUCUGACGCUGAGACACGAAAGCGUGGGUAGCAAACAGG